rfam:Schistosoma rodhaini strain Burundi genome assembly, scaffold: SROB_scaffold0002334
NUCCAGCUGACGAGUCCCAAAUAGGACGAAACGCGCGUCCUGGAU